rnacentral:rRNA from 1 species
GACGAACGCUGGCGGCGUGCUUAACACAUGCAAGUCGAGCGGUAAGGCCCUUUCGGGGGUACACGAGCGGCGAACGAGUGAGUAACACGUGGGUGACCUGCCCUUCGCUCUGGGAUAAGCCUGGGAAACGUGGGUCUAAUACCGGAUAUGACUCCAUAACGCAUGUUGUGGGGUGGAAAGCCUUGUGCGGCUAGGGAUGGGCCCGCGGCCUAUCAGCUUGUUGGUGGGGUGANGGCCUACCAAGGCGACGACGGGUAGCCGGCCUGAGAGGGCGACCGGCCACACUGGGACUGAGACACGGCCCAGACUCCUACGGGAGGCAGCAGCGGGGAAUCUUGCGCAAGUGGGCGAAAGCCUGACGCAGCGACGCCGCGU